AACGAACGCUGGCGGCAUGCCUAACACAUGCAAGUCGAACGAGACCUUCGGGUCUAGUGGCGCACGGGUGCGUAACGCGUGGGAACCUGCCCUUAGGUUCGGAAUAACUCCCCGAAAGGGGUGCUAAUACCGGAUAAUGUCUUCGGACCAAAGAUUUAUCGCCUUUGGAUGGGCCCGCGUUGGAUUAGCUAGUUGGUAGGGUAAAAGCCUACCAAGGCGACGAUCCAUAGCUGGUCUGAGAGGAUGAUCAGCCACACUGGGACUGAGACACGGCCCAGACUCCUACGGGAGGCAGCAGUGGGGAAUAUUAGACAAUGGGCGAAAGCCUGAUCCAGCAAUGCCGCGUGAGUGAUGAAGGCCUUAGGGUUGUAAAGCUCUUUUACCCGGGAUGAUAAUGACAGUACCGGGUGAAUAAGCUCCGGCUAACUCCGUG
rnacentral:rRNA from 1 species